rnacentral:tRNA from 1 species
GGGGAUUCAGCUCAGUGGUAGAGCACUUGCCUAGCAAGCACAAGGCCCUGGGUUCGGUCCCCAGCUCCG